rnacentral:RNase_P_RNA from 1 species
CCACGGAAACACGGUGCCGGGUAACGCCCGGCGGGGGCGACCCCAGGGAAAGUGCAACAGAAAGUAAACCGCCGACGCACGCUUGUCGUCCGUCGGUAAGGGUGAAAGGGUGCGGUAAGAGCGCACCGCGGUUCCGGCGACGGAACUGGCAUUGUAAACCCCACCGGGAGCAAGACCGUAUAGGGACGAUAGGUUGGCGCUUCGGCGUACAGCCAAGCAGGUUUUCGCGCUUCGUCCGGGUAGGUCGCGGGAGGCGUCCGGCGACGGGCGUCCCAGAUGAAUGGUCAUCCAUCGCAUCCACCGUUCGCGGCGGGGGCGGGGACAGAACCCGGCUUACAGACCGUCUGGCAUU